CUAUAGUAUUGCAUUUUUUACAGCUGCUCCUGGUAAUAGACAAUUCCCAUUAUAGACUAAUUUUCAAACUAGGGAAGGAGAUGCAAAUAAAUCACCACAGGUAGAAAGAGCAUACUGAAAUUAGUAAAUUUGCAAAGUUUGGUUGCGAAAUGUUGUAAAAUGCGGAAAUAUAUAGCCUUGCAAAGUUCGCAAAUUUUGUAUACUUUUGUAUUGCGUGCGACCAUUUUCGGCCAAAAUGUGGUAGGAAUGUGGUAGGAAUUCCGCACGCAAUACAAAAGUAUACAAAAUAUG